GAUGAAGAACGCAGCGAAAUGCGAUAAGUAAUGUGAAUUGCAGAAUUCAGUGAAUCAUCGAAUCUUUGAACGCACAUUGCGCCCGCCAGUAUUCUGGCGGGCAUGCCUGUUCGAGCGUCAUUUCAACCAUCAAGCCCCCGGCUUGUGUUGGGGACCUGCGGCUGCCGCAGGCCCUGAAAAUCAGUGGCGGGCUCGCUAGUCACUCCGAGCGUAGUAAUACAUCUCGCUCAGGGCGUGCUGCGGGUUCCGGCCGUUAAAAGCCUUAUUUACCCAAGGUUGACCUCGGAUCAGGUAGGAAGACCCGCUGAACUUAAGCAUAUCAAUAAGCGGAGGA
rnacentral:misc_RNA from 1 species